UGGGGAAUAUUGCACAAUGGGCGCAAGCCUGAUGCAGCCAUGCCGCGUGUAUGAAGAAGGCCUUCGGGUUGUAAAGUACUUUCAGCGGGGAGGAAGGGAGUAAAGUUAAUACCUUUGCUCAUUGACGUUACCCGCAGAAGAAGCACCGGCUAACUCCGUGCCAGCAGCCGCGGUAAUACGGAGGGUGCAAGCGUUAAUCGGAAUUACUGGGCGUAAAGCGCACGCAGGCGGUUUGUUAAGUCAGAUGUGAAAUCCCCGGGCUCAACCCGGGAAACGGAUCUGAUACUGGUCAGCUAGAGUUUUGUAAAGGGGGGUAGAAUUCCAUGUGUAGCGGUGAAAUGCGUAGAGAUGUGGAGGAAUACCGGUGGCGAAGGCGGCCCCCUGGACGAAGACUGACGCUCAGGUGCGAAAGCGUGGGGAGCAAACAGG
rnacentral:rRNA from 1 species